rnacentral:rRNA from 1 species
GAGUUUGAUCCUGGCUCAGGACGAACGCUGGCGGCGCGCCUAACACAUGCAAGUCGAACGAGCGAGAGAGAGCUUGCUUUCUCGAGCGAGUGGCGAACGGGUGAGUAACGCGUGAGGAACCUGCCUCAAAGAGGGGGACAACAGUUGGAAACGACUGCUAAUACCGCAUAAGCCCACAGCUCGGCAUCGAGCAGAGGGAAAAGGAGCAAUCCGCUUUGAGAUGGCCUCGCGUCCGAUUAGCUAGUUGGUGAGGUAAUGGCCCACCAAGGCGACGAUCGGUAGCCGGACUGAGAGGAUGAACGGCCACAUUGGGACUGAGACACGGCCCAGACUCCUACGGGAGGCAGCAGUGGGGAAUAUUGCACAAUGGGGGAAACCCUGAUGCAGCGACGCCGCGUGGAGGAAGAAGGUCUUCGGAUUGUAAACUCCUGUUGUUGAGGAAGAUAAUGACGGUACUCAACAAGGAAGUGACGGCUAACUACGUGCCAGCAGCCGCGGUAAAACGUAGGUCACAAGCGUUGUCCGGAAUUACUGGGUGUAAAGGGAGCGCAGGCGGGAAGACAAGUUGGAAGUGAAAUCUAUGGGCUCAACCCAUAAACUGCUUUCAAAACUGUUUUUCUUGAGUAGUGCAGAGGUGGGCGGAAUUCCCGGUGUAGCGGUGGAAUGCGUAGAUAUCGGGAGGAACACCAGUGGCGAAGGCGGCCUACUGGGCACCAACUGACGCUGAGGCUCGAAAGUGUGGGUAGCAAACAGGAUUAGAUACCCUGGUAGUCCACACCGUAAACGAUGAUUACUAGGUGUUGGAGGAUUGACCCCUUCAGUGCCGCAGUUAACACAAUAAGUAAUCCACCUGGGGAGUACGACCGCAAGGUUGAAACUCAAAGGAAUUGACGGGGGCCCGCACAAGCAGUGGAGUAUGUGGUUUAAUUCGACGCAACGCGAAGAACCUUACCAAGUCUUGACAUCCCUUGACGAACAUAGAAAUAUGUUUUCUCUUCGGAGCAAGGAGACAGGUGGUGCAUGGUUGUCGUCAGCUCGUGUCGUGAGAUGUUGGGUUAAGUCCCGCAACGAGCGCAACCCUUACUGUCAGUUACUACGCAAGAGGACUCUGGCAGGACUGCCGUUGACAAAACGGAGGAAGGUGGGGAUGACGUCAAAUCAUCAUGCCCUUUAUGACUUGGGCUACACACGUACUACAAUGGCGUUAAACAAAGAGAAGCAAGAUCGCGAGGUGGAGCAAAACUCAGAAACAACGUCCCAGUUCGGACUGCAGGCUGCAACUCGCCUGCACGAAGUCGGAAUUGCUAGUAAUCGUGGAUCAGCAUGCCACGGUGAAUACGUUCCCGGGCCUGUACACACCGCCCGUC